rnacentral:rRNA from 1 species
GUCGAGCGGACAGAAGGGAGCUUGCUCCCGGAUGUUAGCGGCGGACGGGUGAGUAACACGUGGGUAACCUGCCUGUAAGACUGGGAUAACUCCGGGAAACCGGAGCUAAUACCGGAUAGUUCCUUGAACCGCAUGGUUCAAGGAUGAAAGACGGUUUCGGCUGUCACUUACAGAUGGACCCGCGGCGCAUUAGCUAGUUGGUGAGGUAACGGCUCACCAAGGCGACGAUGCGUAGCCGACCUGAGAGGGUGAUCGGCCACACUGGGACUGAGACACGGCCCAGACUCCUACGGGAGGCAGCAGUAGGGAAUCUUCCGCAAUGGACGAAAGUCUGACGGAGCAACGCCGCGUGAGUGAUGAAGGUUUUCGGAUCGUAAAGCUCUGUUGUUAGGGAAGAACAAGUGCAAGAGUAACUGCUUGCACCUUGACGGUACCUAACCAGAAAGCCACGGCUAACUACGUGCCAGCAGCCGCGGUAAUACGUAGGUGGCAAGCGUUGUCCGGAAUUAUUGGGCGUAAAGGGCUCGCAGGCGGUUUCUUAAGUCUGAUGUGAAAGCCCCCGGCUCAACCGGGGAGGGUCAUUGGAAACUGGGAAACUUGAGUGCAGAAGAGGAGAGUGGAAUUCCACGUGUAGCGGUGAAAUGCGUAGAGAUGUGGAGGAACACCAGUGGCGAAGGCGACUCUCUGGUCUGUAACUGACGCUGAGGAGCGAAAGCGUGGGGAGCGAACAGGAUUAGAUACCCUGGUAGUCCACGCCGUAAACGAUGAGUGCUAAGUGUUAGGGGGUUUCCGCCCCUUAGUGCUGCAGCUAACGCAUUAAGCACUCCGCCUGGGGAGUACGGUCGCAAGACUGAAACUCAAAGGAAUUGACGGGGGCCCGCACAAGCGGUGGAGCAUGUGGGUUUAAUUCGAAGCAACGC